CCUCCUUUUCUUGGCGGGCCCGGGCGUGGCAGUGCCCGGCUCCGUAAUGUCCGGAGGUAAAGGAAAAUCCACCCAGUGUUCUGUCUUCGGUGCCAGCAGCAUCCCUAUCUGCUGGUUCUAUCCUCAAGCACUGGGACACGA